CUGCGGCGUAUUAACUUGUUGGUGGGGUAACGGCCUACCAAGGUGAUGAUACGUAGCCGAACUGAGAGGUUGAUCGGCCACAUUGGGACUGAGACACGGCCCAAACUCCUACGGGAGGCAGCAGUAGGGAAUCUUCCACAAUGGACGAAAGUCUGAUGGAGCAACGCCGCGUGAAUGAAGAAGGCCUUCGGGUCGUAAAAUUCUGUUGUCAGAGAAGAAUGUGCGUGAGAGUAACUGUUCACGUAUUGACGGUAUCUGACCAGAAAGCCACGGCUAACUACGUGCCAGCAGCCGCGGUAAUACGUAGGUGGCAAGCGUUGUCCGGAUUUAUUGGGCGUAAAGGGAACGCAGGCGGUCUUUUAAGUCUGAUGUGAAAGCCUUCGGCUUAACCGAAGUAGUGCAUUGGAAACUGGAAGACUUGAGUGCAGAAGAGGAGAGUGGAACUCCAUGUGUAGCGGUGAAAUGCGUAGAUAUAUGGAAGAACACCAGUGGCGAAAGCGGCUCUCUGGUCUGUAACUGACGCUGAGGUUCGAAAGCGUGGGUAGCAAACAGGAUUAGAUACCCUGGUAGUCCACGCCGUAAACGAUGAGUGCUAAGUGUUGUAGGGUUUCCGCCCUUCAGUGCUGCAGCUAACGCAUUAAGCACUCCGCCUGGGGAGUACGGUCGCAAGACUGAAACUCAAAGGAAUUGACGGGGGCCCGCACAAGCGGUGGAGCAUGUGGUUUAAUUCGAAGCAACGCGAAGAACCUUACCAGGUCUUGACAUCUUCUGACAAUUCCAGAGAUGGAACGUUCCCUUCGGGGACAGAAUGACAGGUGGUGCAUGGUUGUCGUCAGCUCGUGUCGUGAGAUGUUGGGUUAAGUCCCGCAACGAGCGCAACCCUUAUUGUCAGUUGCCAUCAUUAAGUUGGGCACUCUGGCGAGACUGCCGGUGACAAACCGGAGGAAGGUGGGGAUGACGUCAAAUCAUCAUGCCCCUUAUGACCUGGGCUACACACGUGCUACAAUGGACGGUACAACGAGUCGCUAACUCGCGAGGGCAAGCUAAUCUCUUAAAGCCGUUCUCAGUUCGGAUUGCAGGCUGCAACUCGCCUGCAUGAAGUCGGAAUCGCUAGUAAUCGCGAAUCAGCAUGUCGCGGUGAAUACGUUCCCGGGCCUUGUACACACCGCCCGUCACACCAUGAGAGUUUGUAACACCCAAAGUCGGGGUAACCUUUUGGAGCCAGCCGCCUAAGGUGGGACAGAUGAUUGGGGUGAAGUCGUAACAAGGUA
rnacentral:rRNA from 1 species